GGGGGAUAUUGCACAAUGGGGGAAACCUUGAUGCAGCGACGCCGCGUGGAGGAAGAAGGUUUUCGGAUUGUAAACUCCUGUCGUUAGGGACGAUAAUGACGGUACCUAACAAGAAAGCACCGGCUAACUACGUGCCAGCAGCCGCGGUAAAACGUAGGGUGCAAGCGUUGUCCGGAAUUACUGGGUGUAAAGGGAGCGCAGGCGGGAAGACAAGUUGGAAGUGAAAACCAUGGGCUCAACCCAUGAAUUGCUUUCAAAACUGUUUUUCUUGAGUAGUGCAGAGGUAGAUGGAAUUCCCGGUGUAGCGGUGGAAUGCGUAGAUAUCGGGAGGAACACCAGUGGCGAAGGCGGUCUACUGGGCACCAACUGACGCUGAGGCUCGAAAGCAUGGGUAGCAAACAGGAUUAGAUACCCUGGUAGUCCAUGCCGUAAACGAUGAUUAUUAGGUGUUGGGGGAU
rnacentral:rRNA from 1 species